UCAAGACUCAAGAGUGCAACAUGAACUGUGGAUAUGAACUUUACUAUCAGAUGAACAUUGGAAGUGACAAGAUUUCUGCGCAAAGAUUUUUCUUGGUCAAGAGUGAAACAUGAGCUGUGGAUAUGAACUUUACUGUCAGAUGAACAUUGGAAGUGACAAGAUUUCUUCACAGAGAAUGAAUGAAGUUGAAGAAAGUUGAAAGGCACCCCUGAAGAACCUGAAUUAUUUUAGCCCUAUCCUAGAUUCAUUAAUUAAUAUAUUUUAGUGUGUGAUAACAUGUGUGAAAUGUGAUCAAUUAUGUGACAAUUUUCAAAACU
rnacentral:lncRNA from 1 species